GAUGAAGAACGUAGCGAAAUGCGAUACGUAACGUGAAUUGCAGAAUUCAGUGAAUCAUCGAGUCUUUGAACGCACAUUGCGCCCUCUGGUAUUCCGGGGGGCAUGCCUGUCCGAGCGUCAUUGCUGCCCUCAAGCACGGCUUGUGUGUUGGGCCUCCGUCCUCCUCCCGGGGGACGGGCCCGAAAGGCAGCGGCGGCACCGCGUCCGGUCCUCGAGCGUAUGGGGCUUCGUCACCCGCUCUUGUAGGCCCGGCCGGCGCUUGCCGACACAUCAAUCUUUUUUCCAGGUUGACCUCGGAUCAGGUAGGGAUACCCGCUGAACUUAAGCAUAUCAAUAAGCGGAGGA
rnacentral:misc_RNA from 1 species